UAUUAAUUCUUCAGAGAAUUCUUCUAUCAAGUUAUCUCUUUUCUCCUUCAGGAUCAAUCCUUAUAUAGGCAAGGAAAGGAGGAUGAGGACAAUAAAUGAGGGAACAUGGAGAGGGAAUAAAGGGAUAAAGGGGAGAGGAAAGAAAUCAAAAGAGUAAGUGUUCCCUCAUAAUUGAGGGAAUCAAUCACUUUACAAUACUUCCCCUGAUUCCCUACUAUAGAAGAUUAUGUCUCAUUAAAAACCUUGUUAAGAAAACCCAGUGGGAAAAACUUAACGAAGGAAAAAAGAGUACAUAUCUUUUACAUAAAUAUCUUAAUUGACUGCCUCGUUAAAACCUUGUCAGGAAAAACCCAUUGGGAUAAAAACCGUGACUAAGGAAAAAGAGUACAGUCUUCCCCUCAAAAG
rnacentral:lncRNA from 1 species